AUUGAACGCUGGCGGCAGGCCUAACACAUGCAAGUCGAGCGGAUGAAGGGAGCUUGCUCCUGGAUUCAGCGGCGGACGGGUGAGUAAUGCCUAGGAAUCUGCCCGGUAGUGGGGGAUAACGUCCGGAAACGGGCGCUAAUACCGCAUACGUCCUGAGGGAGAAAGUGGGGGAUCUUCGGACCUCACGCUAUCAGAUGAGCCUAGGUCGGAUUAGCUAGUUGGUGGGGUAAAGGCUUACCAAGGCGACGAUCCGUAACUGGUCUGAGAGGAUGAUCAGUCACACUGGAACUGGGACACGGUCCAGACUCCUACGGGAGGCAGCAGUGGGGAAUAUUGGACAAUGGGCGAAAGCCUGAUCCAGCCAUGCCGCGUGUGUGAAGAAGGUCUUCGGAUUGUAAAGCACUUUAAGUUGGGAGGAAGGGCAGUAAGUUAAUACCUUGCUGUUUUGACGUUACCAACAGAAUAAGCACCGGCUAACUUCGUG
rnacentral:rRNA from 1 species